rnacentral:rRNA from 1 species
UCUUGAAGCCCAACUUGAGGCNGUAACUAAAACUGAUUAACUAGAGUCUUUCAGAGGUGCGUGGAAUUCUGUGUGUAGGGGUAAAAUCCGUAGAUACACAGAGGAACACCAAAAGCGAAGGCAGCGCACUGGGAAGGUACUGACGCUCAUGGACGAAAGCGUAGGCAGCGAACGGGAUUAGAUACCCCGGUAGUCUACGCCGUAAACGAUGGAUACUAGUUGUUGGAGGGCUCGACCCCUUCAGUGACGACGCUAACGCAUUAAGUAUCCCGCCUGGGGAGUACGGUCGCAAGAUUAAAACUCAAAGGAAUAGACGGGGACCCACACAAGCGGUGGAGCAUCUGGCUUAAUUCGAUAAUGAGCGAGGAACCUUACCUGGACUUGACAUCCCGAGAAUUCUCUAGAAAUAGAGAAGUGCCUUCUGGAACUCGGUGACAGGUGCUGCAUGGUUGUCGUCAGCUCGUGCCUUGAGGUGUUCGGUUAAGUCCGUAAACGAGCGCAACCCAUGUUCUGUGUUGUAUUUUUCACAGAAGACUGCCGAUUCAAAGUCGGAGGAAGGUAUGGAUGACGUCAAAUCAGCAUGGCCCUUAUGUCCAGGGCUGCACAGGUGCUACAAUGGCAGGUACAACGGGUAGCAAUGCCGUAAGGCGGAGCCAAUCCUUAAAACCUGUNUAAGUUCGGAUUGAGGGCUGCAAUUUGCCCUCAUGAAGUUGGCCUCGCUA